GAUGAAGAACGUAGCGAAAUGCGAUAAGUAAUGUGAAUUGCAGAAUUCAGUGAAUCAUCGAAUCUUUGAACGCACAUUGCGCCCGCCAGUAUUCUGGCGGGCAUGCCUGUUCGAGCGUCAUUUCAACCAUCAAGCCCCCGGGCUUGUGUUGGGGACCUGCGGCUGCCGCAGGCCCUGAAAAGCAGUGGCGGGCUCGCUGUCACACCGAGCGUAGUAGAUUUUAUCUCGCUCUGGGCGUGCUGCGGGUUCCGGCCGUUAAACCACCCUUUUAACCCAAGGUUGACCUCGGAUCAGGUAGGGAUACCCGCUGAACUUAAGCAUAUCAAUAAGCGGAGGA
rnacentral:misc_RNA from 1 species